CGUGUAGGCGGUUGCCCAAGUCGGGUGUGAAAGCCUUGAGCUCAACUCAAGAAAUGCACUCGGUACUGGGUGACUAGAGGACCGGAGAGGAUAGUGGAAUUCCCAGUGUAGUGGUGAAAUACGUAGAGAUUGGGAAGAACACCAGUGGCGAAGGCGGCUAUCUGGACGGUUUCUGACGCUAAGACGCGAAAGCGUGGGAGCAAACA
rnacentral:rRNA from 1 species